UGGAGCCUGCGGUUUAAUUGGACUCAACGCCGGGCAGCUCACCGGAUAAGACAGCUGGAUGAUAGCCGGGCUGAAGACUCUGCUUGACUAGCUGAGAGGAGGUGCAUGGCCGUCGUCAGUUCGCACUGUGAAGCAUCCUGUUAAGUCAGGCAACGAGCGAGACCCACGCCAACAGUUGCCAGCAUGUCCUCCGGGAUGAUGGGGACACUGUUGGGACCGCCUCUGCUAAAGAGGAGGAAGGAAUGGGCAACGGUAGGUCAGCAUGCCCCGAAUUAUCCGGGCUACACGCGGGCUACAAUGGUCAGGACAAUGGGUAUCGACACCGAGAGGUGGAGGCAAUCUCCUAAACCUGUCCUUAGUUCGGAUUGUGGGCUGCAACUCGCCCACAUGAAGCUGGAAUCCGUAGUAAUCGCGUUUCAAAAUAGCGCGGUGAAUAUGUCCCUGCUCCUU
rnacentral:rRNA from 1 species